UAGGGAAUCUUCGGCAAUGGGGGGAACCCUGAUCGAGCAACGCCGCGUGAGUGAAGAAGGUUUUCGGAUCGUAAAGCUCUGUUGUUAAGGAAGAACGAGUGUGAGAAUGGAAAGUUCAUACUGUGACGGUACUUAACCAGAAAGGGACGGCUAACUACGUGCCAGCAGCCGCGGUAAUACGUAGGUCCCGAGCGUUGUCCGGAUUUAUUGGGCGUAAAGCGAGCGCAGGCGGUUAGAUAAGUCUGAAGUUAAAGGCAGUGGCUCAACCAUUGUAGGCUUUGGAAACUGUUUAACAUGAGUGCAGAAGGGGAGAGUGGAAUUCCAUGUGUAGCGGUGAAAUGCGUAGAUAUAUGGAGGAACACCGGUGGCGAAAGCGGCUCUCUGGUCUGUAACUGACGCUGAGGCUCGAAAGCGUGGGGAGCGAACAGG
rnacentral:rRNA from 1 species